rnacentral:rRNA from 1 species
GAUGAACGCUGGCGGCGUGCCUAAUACAUGCAAGUCGAGCGAACAGACGAGGAGCUUGCUCCUCUGACGUUAGCGGCGGACGGGUGAGUAACACGUGGAUAACCUACCUAUAAGACUGGGAUAACUUCGGGAAACCGGAGCUAAUACCGGAUAAUAUAUUGAACCGCAUGGUUCAAUAGUGAAAGACGGUUUUGCUGUCACUUAUAGAUGGAUCCGCGCCGCAUUAGCUAGUUGGUAAGGUAACGGCUUACCAAGGCAACGAUGCGUAGCCGACCUGAGAGGGUGAUCGGCCACACUGGAACUGGGACACGGUCCAGACUCCUACGGGAGGCAGCAGUAGGGAAUCUUCCACAAUGGGCGAAAGCCUGACGGAGCAACACCGCGUGAGUGAUGAAGGUCUUCGGAUCGUAAAACUCUGUUAUUGGGGAAGAACAAAUGUGUAAGUAACUAUGCACGUCUUGACGGUACCUAAUCAGAAAGCCACGGCUAACUACGUG